UGGGGAAUCUUCCGCAAUGGACGAAAGUCUGACGGAGCAACGCCGCGUGAGUGAAGAAGGUUUUCGGAUCGUAAAACUCUGUCUUUUGGGGCGAACGUGAGUAUGGUGAACAAUCAUAGUCAGUGACGGUACCAAAGGAGGAAGCCACGGCUAACUACGUGCCAGCAGCCGCGGUAAUACGUAGGUGGCAAGCGUUGUCCGGAAUUAUUGGGCGUAAAGAGCGCGUAGGCGGGAUAGUCAGUCUGUUGUAAAGUGCGGGGCUCAACCCCGUGAUGGCAAUGGAAACAGCUAUUCUUGAGUGCAGGAGAGGAAAGUGGAAUUCCCAGUGUAGCGGUGAAAUGCGUAGAUAUUGGGAGGAACACCAGUGGCGAAGGCGACUUUCUGGACUGUGUCUGACGCUGAGGCGCGAAAGCCAGGGGAGCGAACGGGAUUAGAUACCCCGGUAGUCCUGGCCGUAAACGAUGGGUACUAGGUGUGGGAGGUAUCGACCCCCUUCCGUGCCGGAGUUAACGCAAUAAGUACCCCGCCUGGGGAGUACGGUCGCAAGAUUAAAACUCAAAUGAAUUGACGGGGUCAUAGCUGUUUCCUG
rnacentral:rRNA from 1 species